rnacentral:rRNA from 1 species
AUACGUAGGUGGCGAGCGUUGUCCGGAAUUACUGGGCGUAAAGGGCGCGUAGGCGGCCUGUUAAGUCAGAUGUGAAAACCCCGGGCUCAACCUGGGGAGUGCAUUUGAAACUGAUGGGCUAGAGUGUCGGAGAGGGAAGCGGAAUUCCUAGUGUAGCGGUGAAAUGCGUAGAUAUUAGGAGGAACACCAGUGGCGAAGGCGGCUUUCUGGACGAUAACUGACGCUGAGGCGCGAAAGCGUGGGGAGCAAACAGGAUUAGAUACCCUGGUAGUCCACGCUGUAAACGAUGGAUACUAGGUGUGGGAGGUAUCGACCCCUUCCGUGCCGCAGUAAACGCAAUAAGUAUCCCGCCUGGGGAGUACGGCCGCAAGGUUGAA